rnacentral:rRNA from 1 species
GUGCCAGCCACCGCGGUCAUACGAUUAACCCAAGUUAAUAGGCACACGGCGUAAAGCGUGUUAAAGCAUUCUAUAAAAUAAGGUUCAAUCCUAAUUAAGCUGUAAAAAGCCAUAAUUACAAUGAAAAUAGAUAACGAAAGUAACUUUAAAAUAGCUGAAACACGAUAGCUAAGACCCAAACUGGGAUUAGAUACCCCACUAUGCUUAGCCCUAA